AGCGAACGCUGGCGGCAGGCUUAACACAUGCAAGUCGAGCGCCCGCAAGGGGAGCGGCAGACGGGUGAGUAACACGUGGGAACGUGCCUUUUGGUUCGGAACAACCCAGGGAAACUUGGGCUAAUACCGGAUAAGCCCUAACGGGGAAAGAUUUAUCGCCAAAAGAUCGGCCCGCGUCUGAUUAGCUAGUUGGUGGGGUAAUGGCCCACCAAGGCUACGAUCAGUAGCUGGUCUGAGAGGAUGAUCAGCCACAUUGGGACUGAGACACGGCCCAAACUCCUACGGGAGGCAGCAGUGGGGAAUAUUGGACAAUGGGGGCAACCCUGAUCCAGCCAUGCCGCGUGAGGGAUGAAGGCCUUAGGGUUGUAAAGCUCUUUCAGCGGGGAAGAUAAUGACGGUACCCGCAGAAAAAGCCCCGGCUAACUUCGUGCCAGCCGCCGCCGUAACAC
rnacentral:rRNA from 1 species